rnacentral:tRNA from 1 species
UAUCCUUUUAGUAUAAAAAAUAUAUUUGACUUCCAAUCAAAAGAUCUUUUAAUAAAGAGAGGAUAA